AUAAUCAUUUGCCUUAUAAUUGAAGGCUUGUAUGAAUGGUUUAACAAGAAUUAAUUUGUCUCUUGCUAAUUAAAAUGAAAUUGACUUUUAGGUGUAAAGGCCUAAAUGUUACUAAUAGACAAGAAGACCCUAUUGAGCUUGAAAAAUUUAUGAUAAUAUAAGUAUAUUGAGACUGAAAUUAUAAGUUAUUAAGAUUUUUAGUUGGGGUGACUAUUGGAACAAAUAAAGCUUCCAGAGAUUCCAUAAUAUCUGAUGUUAAUUUAUUUAAAUUGGAUCCAAAAUAUUUUGAUUAAUAGAAUAAGUUACCAUAGGGAUAACAGCAUAAUCUAUCUUAAGAGCUCUAAUCGAAAGAAAGGUUUGU
rnacentral:rRNA from 1 species